AGUGAACGCUGGCGGUAGGCCUAACACAUGCAAGUCGAACGGCAGCACAGUAAGAGCUUGCGCUUACGGGUGGCGAGUGGCGGACGGGUGAGGUAUACAUCGGAAUCUACUUUUUCGUGGGGGAUAACGUAGGGAAACUUACGCUAAUACCGCAUACGACCUACGGGUGAAAGCAGGAGAUCUUCGGACCUUGCGCGAUUGAAUGAGCCGAUGUCGGAUUAGCUAGUUGGCGGGGUAACGGCCCACCAAGGCGACGAUCCGUAGCUGGUCUGAGAGGAUGAUCAGCCACACUGGAACUGAGACACGGUCCAGACUCCUACGGGAGGCAGCAGUGGGGAAUAUUGGACAAUGGGCGCAAGCCUGAUGCAGCCAUGCCGCGUGGGUGAAGAAGGCCUUCGGGUUGUAAAGCCCUUUUGUUGGGAAAGAAAAGCAGCAGGUUAAUACCCCGAUGUUCUGACGGUACCCAAAGAAUAAGCACCGGCUAACUUCGUG
rnacentral:rRNA from 1 species